rnacentral:misc_RNA from 1 species
GAUGAAGAACGUAGCGAAAUGCGAUAAGUAGUGUGAAUUGCAGAAUUCAGUGAAUCAUCGAAUCUUUGAACGCACAUUGCGCCCCUUGGUAUCCCGAGGGGCAUGCCUGUUCGAGCGUCAUUCCACCACUCAAGCCUGGCUUGGUGUUGGGCGACGUCCUCUUUGGGGACGCGCCUCGAAACGCUCGGCGGCGUGGCACCGGCUUUAAGCGUAGCAGAAUCUUUCGCUUUGGAAGUCGGGGCCCCGUCUGCCGGAAGACCUGCUCGCAAGGUUGACCUCGGAUCAGGCAGGGAUACCCGCUGAACUUAAGCAUAUCAAUAAGCGGAGGA